GAGCUCAAAUUUGAAAUCUGGCCCCUCCGGGGUCCGAGUUGUAAUUUGCAGAGGAUGCUUCGGGCGCGGUCCCCGUCUAAGUACCCUGGAACGGGUCGUCAUAGAGGGUGAGAAUCCCGUCUGGGACGGGUGGCCGUGUCCGUGUGAAGCUCCUUCGACGAGUCGAGUUGUUUGGGAAUGCAGCUCUAAAUGGGUGGUAAAUUUCAUCUAAAGCUAAAUAUUGGCCGGAGACCGAUAGCGCACAAGUAGAGUGAUCGAAAGAUGAAAAGCACUUUGAAAAGAGAGUUAAACAGCACGUGAAAUUGUUGAAAGGGAAGCGCUUGCGACCAGACUCGCCCGCGGGGGUUCAGCCGGUACUCGUACCGGUGUACUCCCCCGGGGGCGGGCCAGCGUCGGUUUGGGCGGUCGGUCAAAGGCCUCCGGAAUGUGUCGCCCCCCGGGGCGUCUUAUAGCCGGAGGUGCAAUGCGGCCAGCCUGGACCGAGGAACGCGCUUCGGCUCGGACGC
rnacentral:rRNA from 1 species